AUCUUUAGGAACCUUAUCCGCGAUGCUAUCCGCCUAUCUAUAAAGCCAAAGCAAGCAGCGCCGCUCCAUGGAACAGUUGUUAUGGUCUAACAGUCAUUGCUUUGAGGUGAGCAAUAUGGUAGCUUGCAUUGGAGACUAGAAAUCGGUUCUCUGAUAUCCCUCUCUCAGAAGAUUUGUUUACUGGAAGAGAGCAUAAAGUUCAAGUGUCUCAAAUGUAUCAGACUUACCAGAAAAAAAAGUGUCAAAUGUAUCAGUCCAGCGCUGCAAACUUGAAAGCUUUGAUUAUGGAGGGAUAUAUGUGUAUAUAUGUCCAAGUUGUAUUACCUGAUGCUAGGGGGUGAAGUGCAAGCACACUCAGUUAGCUUUCUCUGCUUAUAUCACCCAAAACAGAGAUUGGUCUCUUAUACGUAAUUUGUUAUUGGUGUGAAAUUUGAUUUUUUUUUUUGGGUUGUAUGUGAUGAAUCUCAACAAAUUGUUGUACCAAAAUGGAAGCUUAAAUCUAGAGCGAAUGUGUAAAAAGGAGUUGCUGUCAUGAGCUCUUUCCCUUGGUUUGAAUUGUUUCUGUAUAUUUUCCACUCA